rnacentral:lncRNA from 1 species
CUCCCGCAUGCCAAGGAGAUGGAGUUUAUUUAAAUUAAAACUUGAAAACAAAAUAAAUCUCUCCAGGUUCCCAAAUAUACAGCAAACCUUUGAUUCGACACCUGAAAGGGAACAUUCGUUUGCAAUUGUGGAAUUUCAACUUUGGAUGGGAUUUGGGACCCCAGCAGCUGGAGGAUUCUUGUCUCUGAUGUCACAGAAGUUCCAUGGUAAACAGAGAGCUGGUCGAAGGUUUAACACAACCAACUUGCUUCUGAACCCAACAGUCAUGCCAGUGUGUCUUGAUGGCCACAAGACGUUCAGUUCACUUCCAGACCAGGAGAGUGCGAAGCAACGGUCGGAUACCUGGGAAGUUCUUUCUGCCGUCUGAAAGACACAGCCUGCAUAGGUUUCCGGGAAUUCACGCUGACGGAUGGCAUGCUUCUAGGGGAUGCUGAUGUGUUCCUGGCAGAGGGAUGGAUGACGAGGAGACAGGGACUGGAUUCUCCAGGGUCAAAGUCAAGCUGGGUAACAUGGGAGGUUUAUCCUGGAAACUCACCCAUGUUAUGGGGUCACAGCACCAU